AAGGUUCUAGAACAUGGUUCACAAUGGACCUAUCAUUCACUAUAAUGCAGAUCCAUAGGGAGUAGUAUAUCAGAACACCAGAAAACGUGAUAUAGAAAGUAGAACAGGAAAAUUCAUCGUCAUAAUGAAAUGUGAGAAUCCUCUGGCAUUUAGAGUGAUUAGGUUUUAAAGGAUUCUAUGAAUAAAGGAAUUUGAGAGUGACUGUAAUGGGUAUCUAUAAUGAGAUGAGGAAGAAAGAUAUGCUAUAAUAUGAUUUUCAUUAUGGCAGAUGACAGACAAGUAUUAUUUUUAAAAUUGUUUUUCUUUUUUCCUAUUAUUCUUUCCUACCUCUUUUCUCUUUGAGCAGGAAAGAGAAUGAAGACCACACAUAGUUGACACUGGGCUGAAUAUGAGCCACUAGAUUGGAGUAUCAUAGAAUAUCCUGGGCUGAGGGUUAUUUCAGUUAUGAUGGUGAUUCCAGCUGUACUCUGCCCCAGUGGAGCUUUUCAGAGAUCUACCAGGUUUAUAGCUUUGCAGGUUGAUGUUGGGGAUGACAUUGGUAUUUGACUUAUUCUCUGAGUUGGAUCAAUCUUAGUCUGAAGCUAGAAUGAAAUGAGAUACGAGUAUUCCAUCAAAUAGCUAACAAAAGGAUGUUUGUCUACCCAUGGAGUUGGGUAGUGAAGUUUGGUAGGAGCACAAUAAGUUUUUCAUUCAGGGAACUAUGUGAAAGACUGGGUUCUCUGGAGGACAAAGCAUGGAUAAUACAAACAGUCAAUAUAGAACAAGAAAAAAAAGAUACCAACAAACAUUGAAAUGUUAUCUAAGGGGCAUGGACUCUCCUGCAGAGGAGUUUUGAUAAAUGGAAGCCAAAGUAACUUCCCUCUGACAUUUGGUAAAAGUUAAUAACCUCAAAACAGUGGCAAAGCAGCUACUAGCUACCAAACUCAAGCUGUUUUAGAGGAAGAUGAUGCUUUUUCUUAAAAAGAUUGGUGGGAGAGUCACUUCUUAUUUUUAAAAAGUGUCUAUGGAAGUUUAUACUUCCCAAAAUGGACAUGUUUUUUACUCUCCCUUUGUAGGGAGAAAAUAGAAAGAAAGAAGAAGGAUAAGAGACACAGAGAGUCCAAUUUUCUUUUCCUCUGAGCAAUUUCAACUUUGUGCUUGUUGAGAGGAGAGAUAGGAAGGUAGAUAAUGAAAAAAUACUGAGAAAUAAUGAAGAAUGCUAAAGUCCUGGGCAGGAUUCUUCUAAUAGCCAACAAUUUAGAGGGGAAAAAAACACACCAAGAAAUUACCUCAGCCAACAAUUUUUUUUUUAUUUUUCCAUUCCCAAAGAUGCAUGCUUGUCAGAAGCAGAGCAUAAACUAAUUUUCAAAUCAUAACUUUGGAUCCUG
rnacentral:lncRNA from 1 species